ACGCUCGACACCUACGGGAGGCAGCAGUGAGGAAUAUUGGUCAAUGGGGCGCUAGCCUGAACCAGCCAAGUAGCGUGAAGGAUGAAGGCUCUAUGGGUCGUAAACUUCUUUUAUAUAAGAAUAAAGUGCAGUAUGUAUACUGUUUUGUAUGUAUUAUAUGAAUAAGGAUCGGCUAACUCCGUGCCAACAGCCGCGGUAAUCUGAGCGGCUGGCAAGGC
rnacentral:rRNA from 1 species